rnacentral:rRNA from 1 species
CCUACGGGAGGCAGCAGUGAGGAAUAUUGGUCAAUGGGCGAGAGCCUGAACCAGCCAAGUAGCGUGCAGGAUGACGGCCCUAUGGGUUGUAAACUGCUUUUUAAGGGGAAUAAAGAGUGGCACGUGUGCCCUGUUGCAUGUACCCUUAGAAUAAGGACCGGCUAAUUCCGUGCCAGCAGCCGCGGUAAUACGGAAGGUCCGGGUGUUAUCCGGAUUUAUUGGGUUUAAAGGGAGCGUAGGCCGCAGGUUAAGUGUGUUGUGAAAAGCAGUCGCCCAACGUCUGCCUUGCAGCGCAAACUGUCCUGCUUGAGUGCGCACAACGCAGGCGGAAUUCGUCGUGUAGCGGUGAAAUGCUUAGAUAUGACGAAGAACUCCGAUUGCGAAGGCAGCUUGCGGGAGCGCAACUGACGCUGAAGCUCGAAAGUGCGGGUAUCGAACAGGAUUAGAUACCCGGGUAGUC